rnacentral:rRNA from 1 species
AUUGAACGCUGGCGGCAGGCCUAACACAUGCAAGUCGAACGAGUGGCGGACGGGUGAGUAAUGUCUGGGAAACUGCCCGAUGGAGGGGGAUAACUACUGGAAACGGUAGCUAAUACCGCAUACCAUCGGAUGUGCCCAGAUGGGAUUAGCUAGUAGGUGGGGUAACGGCUCACCUAGGCGACGAUCCCUAGCUGGUCUGAGAGGAUGACAAGCCACACUGGAACGUAGACACGCUCCAGACUCCUACGGGAGGCAGCAGGGGGAAAUAUUGCACAAUGGGCGCAAGCCUGAUGCAGCCAUGCCGCUUGUAUGAAGAAGGCCUUCGGGUUGUAAAGUACUUUCCUCGAGGAGGCGUUACUCGCAGAAGAAGCACCGGCUAACUCCGUGCCAGCCGCCGCGGUAAUAC